rnacentral:rRNA from 1 species
UCAGGAUGAACGCUAGCGGCGCGCUUAACGCAUGCAAGUCGAGCGAUGAGGCUCCCUUCGGGGAGUACAUCAGCGGCAGACGGGUGAGUAACACGUAGAUUACCUGCCCUCAAGACGGGGACAACCGGUGGAAACAGCGGCUAACACCCGAUAUGCUCACAGGAUCGGGAGGUCGAGUGAGGAAAGCGCCCCUUCGGGGGAGAGUGUUUGAGGAGGGAUCUGCGGCCCAUCAGCUAGUUGGUGAGGUAACGGCUCACCAAGGCGAAGACGGGUAGGGGGUGUGAGAGCAUGGCCCCCCACAAUGGGACUGAGACACGGCCCAUACUCCUACGGGAGGCAGCAGCGGGGAAUAUUGCGCAAUGGACGGAAGUCAGACGCAGCGACGCCGCGUGGGUGAGGAAGGCCUUCGGGUUGUAAAGCCCUUUUCAGGGGAGCGAGAAAGGACGGUACCCUUGGAAUAAGCGUCGGCUAACUACGUGCCAGCAGCCGCGGUAAGACGUAGGACGCAAGCGUUAUCCGGAUUUACUGGGCGUAAAGCGCCUGUAGGCGGUCAAGUAAGUCGGAUGUGAAAGCCCCGUGCUCAACGCGGGGAAGCCAUUCGAUACUGCGUGACUAGAGAACGGCAGAGGGAAACGGAAUUUCUGGUGUAGCGGUAAAAUGCGCAGAGAUCAGAAAGAACACCGAUGGCGAAGGCAGUUUCCUAGGCCGCAUCUGACGCUGAGAGGCGAAAGCUAGGGGAGCAAACAGGAUUAGAGACCCUGGUAGUCCUAGCUGUAAACGAUGGAUGCUAGGUGUGGGCCGGAAAGGUCCGUGCCGUAGUUAACGCGAUAAGCAUCCCGNCUGGGGAGUACGGCC